rnacentral:sRNA from 1 species
CUGGGACUCACGUAUGGGUGGUAUACUCCUCUUUCCUACACAAUCAUCAAAA